rnacentral:lncRNA from 1 species
GAUCGUAUGUGUUCCUUUUCCUUUUAAAUCUCCCCUUUCCCUUGUUUUAGUCUUUGUGGUUUGCAGUUCUUAGUAUAAAGUUUGCUUUUUCAGGCUCCCUGGAGACUACGGAUUUGACCCACUAGGUCUUGGAAAAGACCCAGCAUUCCUCAAAUGGUACCGAGAAGCUGAGCUGAUCCAUGGACGUUGGGCCAUGGCUGCUGUCGUCGGCAUCUUCGUCGGCCAAGCUUGGAGUGGCAUUCCAUGGUUCGAGGCAGGAGCUGACCCAGGUGCGAUAGCUCCAUUCUCUUUCGGCUCACUCCUUGGUACUCAGCUCAUCCUUAUGGGUUGGGUUGAAAGCAAGCGGUGGGUUGAUUUCUUCAACCCCCAAUCACAAUCAGUGGAAUGGGCAACUCCAUGGUCUAAGACCGCUGAGAACUUCGCCAACGCCACAGGUGAGCAAGGGUACCCAGGAGGCAAGUUCUUUGACCCAUUGGGGCUAGCAGGAACCAUCCAGAAUGGGGUUUACGUCCCUGAUUUUGACAAGCUCGAGAGACUUAAGCUUGCUGAGAUUAAGCAUGCUAGAAUUGCGAUGUUAGCCAUGUUGAUUUUCUACUUUGAGGCUGGCCAAGGAAAGACACCCCUUGGUGCUCUUGGAUUGUAAAAGAAAACUUUAAGGAUCUGUUUGGAUGUAGAUAACUGAGUUAUGUCUUGGACGUAAGGAGAGUUGAGCAAGAAAAAAACUGGAAAUGGUGUUUGUUGAGCUGAUGAGUUCCCUCAAUAGUUAAAAAUUCUAAAGUAAAAUAUCUGAUGUUCAUUGAUUAAAUACAGAUUCUGUCUACUGAUGUAGUAUACUAUCAUUUCCAUGGAAUUUCUCAGACAUAAUGAAAGGUGAAUUUGCUAAAAAUUAAAGAGAACAAAUCAGGAACCAUCUGGUAAUAAAUAUUCAUGGCAAAAAAAGAAAGAUAUUUGUUAGUUUCUCAUGGAAAUUACUGAGUUCCAAUUGAUCUAGACAUAAAAAUCUUAAAAUUUUGGCAAAAAAUAAAAAAUAAAAAAAACUUAGAAAUAAAAAUGUGUGCCAACAUGCUAUCCGUCUAAUUAUAAAAUGGUUCUUCUGAUUGUUAGAUCCAAAAUUGAUAAUUGCAAGUAGAAACUUAGUAGUGACUAACUGCUUCAAGCUCCAAUGAAAAAUAAAGCACAAAAAUAAUCAACACUAGAUAUGUUUAAGCAAUUUUGUUUCUUACAUGUGUGUAGUAAUUUUAUAUAGAGAGGUAAUUCACUAUCUUAACAUUUUGUACAAUGAGUGAUUAAAGUACUAACACCAAUUAAAUUAGCAACCUCACUUUUGUUCUUAAGAUUUAAAUAUUCUAAAUUUUCCCUCUCAAAACUUAGGACAUCAACCAAUUAGCUUACUUGAUUACUUACCCAAUACACAUUAAGAAACAAAUUCUAAAUAACAAAAUAAGUACUGAAAUUCUCCCCAAGCGUUUCAAUGUAUAAGAUUUUAAGGCUUGUUAAGAUAAAUAUUAAUUACAAUCAAAUUCCCAUCAAAAUAAUAAGAUAAUCAGCAUAAAUAAUAUCUUCAAUGUGACUAGGAUAAGUCUUCAAAUUUUCAGGAUAUGUUAUCAAGUUACUCGGCUCAGCUUCCUCAAAAUAUAAAAGUUAAUUUGCUUGAUCUAAUCCAAAUCAAUCUUUAAGAUAUAUUGCUAUGAAUAAUUUGAAUACCAAAUAUGGGCUAAAAACAUCCAAAGUAACAACUAAAAUAAAAGCACAAGAAUUUUUGUUGCCAAAAUUUGUUAAAUUAAACAUGAUAAUUUUUUUGAACAAGUAAUGUCUAAACUAAUUUACACUGUUCAAGGCAUUGCUCAAAAACUACCUCAACAAUCUCCACGUAUUAAACACCAAAUCCGAAUGCCCUCUUGAGAAACUCCCCUUUAAUCAAAAUGCACCGGGCCUGAGAAUGAACACUAAAAUACCGCAGACUCCCCCAUCUUUUAUUUGUAUUUUAAAAUAUAAAAAUCUUGGUCAAAGGUCAAACUUCCUUUUUGUGUGACCUUAAUUUAAUUUAAUUUAAUUUAGAAAUUUUUUUUCAAAGGCUUAAAAUCAUCUCAUCACCACACAUUCUCUAUUAAACUAUAAAAAAAUGUGUCAAAUGACAAAAAUGCUCAUGAUGGGCAGAAUGAUUUUCACCCCUUGGGUCCAAAACUAGAAAAAUGACUUAAAAAUGUGAUCACAUGACCUUCCUAGGAUUUAAAUCCUAAAAAUUUCAAAUAAAUCAAAUUUCUCAUAUAGCAUUUCACAUAGAUAAUCAAAGGAAUCUGGAAUGUUAGAGGAAAAAAUAUUAAAAGGAAAGAUUUGAUUAAUUCCUAGCUUUGUAUUCAUUGGGAGUUAUUAGAGUAAUGUACAGGGUAGUGAUUUGUUGCACAUGAAAGUCGUAAUGUAGCACAACUUUGCUUCUGGGUAGUGAAAGAAAACAUUUAGAGAAAAAAAAAAGAGUAAACUUAAGAUUGGCAAAAAAAAAAAUUAAGAUUGGCAAAAAAAAAAAAAUUUCUUUUGCAACGAGGAGGGAAAAUAUGAACAUGUUUUCAACAUGCACUUUGCCCCAUUAUUUGUAGUUAUGAUUUUUCUUUUUGGACAAAUUUGCCUAAUUAGUUAAUUGGUUGGCCAAGAGAGACCACCAACUCCACUUGUAGCCAUUUUUUUUUUAAUUCAACAAGGCUUAAUAUAAAUAUAGAUUACUAUAAAUAUCAAUCCAAUUUGUAAAAAUACAUUAUCCUAUGAAAUUAGGAGGAUUCGCUUUAAAAUUUUAAAAGAUUUAUAAUUUCCUAAUAAAUAAAAAAUAAUUAAUAACUCUUAUAAAGUAUUUUUUGAAAAAUAAUUUUUUAUAUAAAACUUUUAAGUUUUUUUUCACUAUUUAAAAUAUAAAAUAUUUUUUACAUUAUAAAAAUUAAAAUUAAUUAUAAAUUAAAUAAACAAUAGAAUUCCAUUCGGUUUGAUUAUUUUUAAAUUUAAAUUAGUUUUUAAUUUCUCAAUUAUUUUUUACUCAGCCUAAAAAUAUUAAAUAAAUAUGUACGAUAAUUAAAUUUUUAGAAAUUCAUAUCACAUUUUUUAUUUUUAAAUUUUGAACUUAAAUUCUUUUUCUAAGAGAAUAAGUAUUUUUUUAUAGAAUUUUUUUUGCUUUAUCAAGAAAUUAUUAAUGAUUAAGUACUUAUAGAAUUAAUUUCUUUACGUUGGAGUAUAAAUAUGGAGAAUAUAGCAGCCACGCAGGGAGCCAUGUCGCGAAUUUUCUCGACAUUACAUGCGUUGCAUGUCGUAUGGAUACCCAUCGAAUUAAUUAACAUAGACAAAAUCCAUAUCUUUUCAAAACUAAAAGGUCAGCAAUUCCAGCUAUAAACAAAUUAGGCUGCUUUUAAGCAAUCUCACUUAGGGCAGUUCUUUAUUCCAUUUGAGAUGGAUUUAUACAAGUAUUUUUUCUCUAAAAGCAGUAAAGAACAGCUAACAGUGGUAAACUUUUUUUUGACUUAAAUUAAGUACUUUUAGCUAGUUCUAGGAAAAAUUAGCUUUUUUCAGCCAAAAAGUAGUUUUGACUAUUAAUUUACCUUUUUAACCUUACGAUUUUUACAUGUUACAAGAUAUUUUUUUCACCUUUUCUCUUUUGUCUUCUUUUUUUUUUGAACUUUAUUUUUCCUCUGGUUUGUUCCUCUUCUCAGUACCAGUAAGUUUUAUCUUUUUUGCUUCCAUUCUUCUGUCUUUGAUUUUAUGAAAUAAUUAUGAAAUUUAAUAAAUAAUUAAUAUUAAUUACUUAGAAAUAUUUAAAAUUAAUAUUAUAGAUUAAAAUAUUAACAAUAAGUUAUAAUAAAUUAUUUUUUAUAUUUUUGCUAAAAUAUCAUAAUAUUAAUUAAUUUAAAUAUUAUUUAAAUACAUAUUUGUUACUUUAUAGUAUCAUGUCUAAAAUAAACAUUUUACUUUUCAAAAACACUUUUUGACAGCAAUACCAAACAAUUAAAUUUUUCAAAAAUACUUCUUAAAAGCACUUUUCAAAAAUAUUUUUCCACGGCACUUCUCAAAAGCAUUCGCAGCCCUUAAUAAAUUGAUAUAGACACACACAUAUCUGAUUGUAUAAAUCAAGUGCUUCCCUUCGAUCAGUCACUUGCGUAUCUAUCCAUAAACACGUAUCUGAUUGUAUUAUUUUGAAUGAAGAGCUUUUACUUUUUAUCAGCUUACGCUGAUAAAAACAUCAAAUUAUGUUUGGUUUAAUUAACUUUAGAACAAACUUUGCGGAUUUCACCCACAGUGCCUGUCUUCACUUCAAUGUUACUCAUCUUCACCAUGGACCUUCCAAAUUCAAUGUUAAAGGUCAAUCCAAGUAAGCCUCUAAUGCCCAAGAAUCGUUGGACAAAGGUCUUGGUAGAAGCAUCAGUCCAUAACCUUUGAUCAGAUUCCAGUAUUCCCUUCCCAUCUCUCAAGUUGGCAAAGAAAGAGUUAUCAAAUCUGUUAACGCUGCCUGUGUCCAAUCCAAUCCUCCUUGACCCAUCACCGUUCUGCGGACACAGCGCUUGAAGCUGGGAAACGAAUGCGGCGGUGAUAGAAGGGUCGGCUCCGUUUCCGGUCGUGGUGAAGUUGUAAAGCCUGUAUCUGAAGAAUUGGCAGGCUGUAGUACCGAUCGUGUGGCCUCCUGGAGUACAUAAAAUUAAUGCAUUGAAUUUCAUCAGUUACAGUGUGAAAUUUUUAAUUAAGGGUUAAAUUCGAAUGAAAUAGAAACCUAAAUGCUUACCAACAAGGGUGACAAGAUCUUGAGUAUUGAGACCCUUUGCUGCAAAUUUUUGCUUCUGCACAUCGACUGAGUCACGGAAGCCUGGCAAAUUGGCCGCAUCAGAAGCCUGUGAAACCGUUCCAUCUCGGCGGCCUGUCGGCACUGCCCAGCUGGCUCCACUGCUCUGCAUCAUACAUUAUUAACCAAUAAUUAAACUACGUAUAAUCCUUAUUAAUUCUUUCAUCCGAAACGAAGAUCAAAGGAACAUAUAGUUACCAGAACUACAGAAUCACGAGCAGCGAGGGCUAGGAUAUCAGCACACGAAACAACUCCAGGGCAUGCAGCUUCAAGCUGAGUCUUGGCAUCAUCAAUGACUUCGUAACCUCUCAACAAGAGGUUCGGUGGGGCGGUUUUCUCAGUGCCAGGUCCAUCAAUAAGGAUGGAAGCAUCGCAUCCAUGGACAAAGCAGUCGUGGAAAUGCAUACGGAGCAAACCAGGAGCAAUAGUGGGAUCAGACCCGAAAUGGGAUUGAACCGUCGACCUCACGAUGGACUCAACUCGAGGACAUGAAGUUGAGUAGAACCCAACCCUGGUGCCCUGGCUUUCCACCAAGCUGACAGCUAUGGCAAGCAAUAGGGUAACUAAAAGGACAUUUUGGCUGAAACAACUGACAUCCAUUGUUGUAAGAGACGAUAUACUUGUCUAAGAGCUUAUAAAAAACCUUGAUUAAGAUAAUGUCUGAGAGAUGAGGCUUUUGAUUCAGGAUUGACAAUUGAGUAGUACUUAUAUAGGCAAAAGAAAGUCAGCUAUACUUUUACAGCUACUGUGUAUACGAGAGAGAGAUUCAAAAUGGAUCAGCUAAGACUUUGGGUUUUGGGGUACAUGCCAAAUGUAAAGCCAAAAGAAGCUUACUUUCUCUCGCAUUAUCAACUUGCAUGCAUGUGAGUCCCAUAUCACUAUUUUUCCUACCUAGUGACAAAGUCGUCGAUCACGAAUGGGAUUUGAGUAGUGUUUAUCUAAUUUAUUUCCCUUUGACUUGGACUGCUUCGCAGAUAGGCAAGGAAUCAUUUAAAUGGUUAAUUAGUAAACACAAUACUUUGCAAGAGUAAGUGACCAAAGUUAUAUUAAUUAAAUGGUUAAAUGAUAACAUUUAAAAACUUUAAAGUGGAUUCCACUGUAUGGUGCUAAUUAGGUGUUGGUUUAUGAAUAGUUUCUUCGUCCAAGAAAGGAAUAGUUCCAUGAAUGGAUCAAAAUGAACUACUCGAAAGAGAGAUGAAAUGACAAACUACUCUCUUGCACCUUUUAUCAAUUAGCGUUCCAUCUUUUUAUCCUUCUUCUUUUUAUGAUUUUAGUUGAUUAAGUUAAAAUUAAUGUUAAAGUUCUACCCAAAUUUUUAUUAAAAUAAAAUAUAUGUAGUAAGAUGGGGAUUCAUGAGGGCGAAGGUCAAGGGCUGGAGAACUUGUCCAUUAAGAAUUCGGGUUAAGAUAGUACGGUACAGGCUGCACAAGAAGAAUCUGUAUAGAAGUUUACUUCAUCUAUUUGAUAUUGAUUUGAAUAAGGUGUUUUAACAUUAUUGUAUUAUUUCGAUUAGAUGUUGAUUAGAAUAAUAUUUUCUAAACCUAUAAAUAGAUGCACUCUAUACUCCUUAUAAUUAUUUGAAUUCGACAUAGUGAAAUUUUUUUCUCUACUUGUAAUUUUUUUCUAAAAAGGUUUCUACUUAAAAUCUAUAUGUUCUAUUUUUCUUUUCUUUUUUAUGAUAUAUUGUCAUUAUUGAUAUUUUAUUUUGUCAAAUAUGCCAUUAAAACAUUUCAAAUGUAAUUCACUUAUUGUAUACAAUUGUUUUGUAAGAUAUAGCGUUCAACAAUGUAUUUAAAAUAGUCAGCUUUUUUGUAAAUAAAUAAACUAUAUAUAAUUUUAGUUGUCUUCGGCUUUUAGCUAAUUAUAUGUUAAAGUGGGAUUAAGUAGAGUUGGUGAGACAUGAUAAAACCCAAGCGGCAAAACGCGUGACAGAAUGAUGAUGACGAAGUUUAAUUUGUCUUGGCCUUCUGAUUUACUUACUAAUAGGGUGGCAUUGACGUUGACGUUCCUCUUUUCGGCUGCCUCAAAGCUAUCUUUUUCCCAUUCUCCUUUCCUUUUUUUUUUUUUAAUAUCUUGAAAUGGUUUCUCUCGCUCGAACGCGUUUCAUGCACUACAUGGAAUCAACGUGUUCAUACUAUUAAGUGUUUUUUUUCUUUUUUAAUUAUUAUCAAAGAAACUAUGAUGGUGGAUUUCAACCUAAAAUAUAUUUACGUGAAUCAAAUAUUAAUUUAAUUAAAAAAUUAAAAUCUUUUGAGAUAAAUAAAUAUUAUUAUGAGGUAAUUUUCAUUCUUUAUACAAAAUUUAUAUCAAAAUAUUUUAAAAUUUAAUAUCUGGAGUUUCUUUUUGUAUAUCAUAUGGAUGAUUCAAUCUGCAAGGACCAUGAUUGAGAAUUGUUUAAUCGUCUUUCUUCGAGUGAGAGGUAAAAUAUAAUUAACUUGAACUCGGGACACCUAUUUGAAAUCUCAUAUUUGCUUUUUGUGAAAAAAUACCAAUCGAAGUGGAGAGUUUCUUCAAACAACAAGGAACUGGGGCAACUAUUCAAUCAAAUGAUAUUGAGCAUGUUUCCCAUCUCUUCUCGAGAGGCAAGUGGGCUAUUUCGUUACAAAAUUGUGCUCAAUUUCAUAUGUGGCAAUUCCGCCAAGAUCUCUUCGUUAGUUGGGGGAAGAAUCCACACGAAUCGGAUAUUUUGUGGAACACAUUGAGAGAGAAUUGGAUUUGGUUAGACAAUAUAUGGUUGGUAAACAGGGAUCGAUUUUUUAGCAAGUACGGAAUGUAUCGUCAAAUAUUCAAUAUGAUUCCACAAGAUUUAGUUUCAUUCAAGUAACGAAUUCUCACCAAUCUAAUCUGUUUCGUUAUUCUAAGUGGUUAUUCUAUUUUGGGGAAUGAAGAACUUCUUAUUCUUAACUCUUGGGUUCAAGAAUUCCUAUAUAAUUUAAGCAACACAAUAAAAGCUUUUUCUAUUCUUUUAUUAAUAGAUUUAUGUAUAGGAUUUCAUUCGCCCCCAGUUGGGAACUAAUGAUUGGCUCUAUCUAUAAAGAUUUUGGAUGUGCUUAUAAUGAUCUAAUUAUAUCUAGUCUUGUUCCUACCUUUACAGUCAUUCUAGAUACAAAUUUUAAAUAAUAGAUCUUUCGUUAUUUAAAUCGUGUAUAUCUGUCACUUGUAGUUAUUUAUCAUUCAAUGAAAGAAUGAAAAAGGAUUCACGGAUUCAAUUAUCAUCUUUCUUACUUUCUAGAUAAGCAAAGCAUGUAAAGUCGUACUUACUUUACUCUUUCUACCCAUCAGGAGAAUACAAUUUCUCCUCUAUUUCAGCCAUUUUUUUCAAUUUUUAGUAAAAGAAAAUAGCGGAAUCGUGGCUAAGGAACUAUACUUGUGACCUACCUAAUUUUAUUAUAGAAAUUUUUGGGAUCAAUGAUUGGACCAUGCAAACUAGAAAUACAAAGAAUUAAUAUUUAGAUUUAUAGAAAUACUUAAACUUAUAAAUAGAGGCAUGUUCACCUGUUAGAUAGAGGCAAAGUAGAUUUAAUUAUGAGUCGGGCCAUUCACUUAUGCCCAAAGGUCCGUCUGGAAAGUGGGAGGGUUUGGAAAAAAAUAUAGGUUUGGACAAAAAAUAAGGCCCAUUUUCUAAAUUGGUUGGGCUUCGGGUAAGAUUUUUUUUUUGUCCAACCCCACCCGAAUCUGCCUAAAGUUUUUUUCCUGCUGUUGUUUGCUAUUGUUUUGUUGCUGUUUUACUAUUAUGUUACUACUAUUUUGUUAUUAUUUGGAUAUUGUAUAACUCUUAUUUUAUUAUUAAUUUUUCUACUAUUUUAGAGGCAUCUGCUUUGCUAAGUUCCAACUGUUAUUUAAGUAUAAAGACUUUUUUAAUGUAUUUUCAAUUUUUGGGGAAACAUUUAUUUUAAUGUUUUUAGUAUACUUGAUAUAUUAUAUUUAUUAAAUUUGUUUUUAUAUAAAAAAUAAUAUAAAAAAAUUUAAUACGACCGGGUCGGGUUUAACAUUUUUAUCUGGGUCGAGCUUGAACAAAAAUUUAGGCCCAUUUUUUUUGGCUCAAGUCCAAAAACAAGCCUAAAUUUCUGCAUCAGCUUGGCACUGUCUGGUCCAUGAUCAAGUCUAAGUCGAAGCCAAAAAAAUUUUUUUGGAAGGGCCGAAAUUAAAUUUUAUAUUCUUAUGAUAGUAAAAAAGCAAUUUUACCAUUUUAAUAGCCUAUAUCUUUAUAAUUUGUAAAGGAUUAAAUCAAAUUUUUAUCAUUUUGCAAGGCUAAACUGUAAUUUUACCAUUAUUAAUUUAAAAUUUUAUAAAUUAUAAAUAGACCUAAACACACAAAAAUUCAUUUUAGGGGGGCCCUACCAACCCCUAGCACUGCCACUGGUUAUAGAUAUUGGGAGCGGGUUAAACUAUUUGAUAAGUCUUACCAUAAUAGACUUGUUUAAAGGUUGUGUUAUUCGUCUAAACUCAAAGAGUUUAGUUCAAUAUUUGAAAAAGUUGGACACAAAUAUUAGUCCCACAAAUGAGCUUCGACAAGAAAACUAGGCAUGUUGCAAAUAUAGAUCGGGUUUGGACUCCAACAUCCAUAGCCCGAGCUUUUCUCAAACCGUUUUUAAUAUUGUCAUAUGUUGUUUUAUUUUUAUAUAUUAUGUAAUAUAUAUCACAUAAAAUUAAAUCUAUAAUAUCAUAAAAUACUAUAAUGUAAGCAUAAAAAAUAUGUUAAGUUAUUGAUUACUAAAAUAAAAGAAAAACAUAUACAAAUAUUACAUAUUAAAUUAAAAAUAAUAUAAAUUAUUUUUAUAUGUCAGACCUAAAACAAACUUAGAUUAAUUAUUUAUUAAUAUGGAUGACUUUAAUCAAAAUCUAAGAUCCAUAUUUUAAGUCAAAUUAAGCUUGAACAAUCAUAUUAAUUAAAUACAUAUAACUUAUAAUAGGUUGAAAUUGUUAAAUUAAUUUUAUUUUUAAAAAUUAUAUUUUUUUAAAAAAAUAAAAUAUUCAAAUUAUCAUAUUUUACUUUUAUCAAAUAAUAUAAUUAUAUUUUUAAUUAAUCUUUACUAUUUUAUAAAAAAAUUGAAAAAAAAAGUUUUUUUAUAUGAAAAAAAAGUGUACAAAAGAAAUAACAUGUAUACUUUUGUAUAUAGUGUUUUUCUUUUGACCUGAAAAUGUGAGUGACUUAAAUAGUAUAUCGUUUCUUGAGAAAAAGUAUUUCAUUGAAAAAAUGAUUUUUUUUACAAGUUAGGCUAAUGUAAUCUAUAUUAACAAUGCUAUCAAGAAAUCCUAACUCGAGUUGGUGACAACUUUAAUUAAUUUAUUCUUAACCACAGACAUAGAAUCUUAUAUAAAAUUUAAUAAUGGAUCGAUGAUAAUUCAUACAAUGCAUCGAGAGUUGUGUAAGGUAAUUUUGGAGGUUUAAGAAGAGUAUAGAAAUUUUCUUUUUUUUGGGUCUAAAUAGCAUACAGAAUUUAUAUGCUCUGAUAUGUGUAAACGGGCCAAUUUGCCCGGCCGUUAUAAACAAAAAAAUAAAUAUAAAAUCCAAACCGUAUAACAGUCCAAAUUCCAAAAUUAUUACAAUGACCCAUAGCCCAUUUACAAAUAAACCCAGACCCAAAGUUACAAGGCCCAAAUGGCCCAAAAGACUUUAGAAACAAAACCCUAGGGUUUCUCUCCCUUGCACUGUAGCCUUCAGCCGCCGUACAGCCCCAACGCCGCUCGUGCCUCCACGUCAAUAGGCCGUACGCCACCCUCACGCCUAGUGCCAGCACAUGCUCCGUACCUGCAAAAGAAAACAAGAAAACAGCAGCGGAGUAGCAGCCAAUAGGAGAACAAAAAUUGUUGUUUUUUCUUUUGAUUAUUCGGCUAUAAAGCCUUUUAUUUUUCGAUUGUAAUGGCCCUUUUUUACGCACACGGAGUGAAUAGAGAAAAAAGCAGAAAUCACAAAUCAAAAGGUGAUUUUCAAGUUUUAUCCUUUUGUCUUUCUUCUCAUUUUCUUGUUAUUUUAGCAUAAAAGAAAGAAACAUUUGAAACGACACCAAUGAAGUCCCGAAUAUCUCAGAAAUAUUGAGAUACGGACGACGGUCGGAUGGUAUUAAGUUUUUUUUUACAUUCGGUUUCAUCCUUCUUAAAUGAACAGUAUUAGAUUUAGGUUUUUUUUUUAAAGAAAAGAGAAAGAAAAAAAUAAAAUAGCAUACCUGGUUUCCUCGCAUGGUACCGUCGUCGGUGGAAUCUGGUCGCUGCUAGUGCAUUGUAGGCCACCGAAUGAAAUGGUGGAUCGGCGGUCGCUGGAAUGAGCCUUAACAAAUCAAUUUAGGGGCUGUAAAUUAGGGUUAAAAUGUUGGCUGCUUUUGGAAAAAGGAAAUAUAAAAGGGUUUUAAAUAACCUAUUAAUGAAAACGGCGCCGUUUGUAACAAUGAGGGUCCGCGCGUCAACCCGGAUAGCAGGUCGGAUCCGCGCCUUUUCAUUCGAAAUGGGGAAUUUGCGCGUUGAGUCCUUCCAUCUGCGCGAGCCUUCAAAUUGCGCCUUAUUCGUUUUGCCUUGUUUUUUUUUAAAUUAGCUCGUUAAUUUGUGCGCGUUUGCAUAC